UAUUUAUAUUAUUAAUAGGAAAGUCAUAAAUAUAUAAAUUAUAUUAUAUAAUUUAUAUUAUUAUUAUAAUAAAAAUCAUAAAAAAAAUAAUAAUUAUUAUUAUUAUAAUAAGAUUAAUGAUAAUUCAUUUAUAAUAUGUAUAUACAUUAUAUAAAUAUAUAAUAAAGUAAUUAAUAUAAAUAAAUAAAUUGAAAAUAAAUCUUAAUAAAUAUAUUAUUAUAUAUAUUUUAUAUAUAUAGUUAUAUUAUUAUACAGAAAUAUGCUUAAUUAUAAUAUAAUAUUC
rnacentral:RNase_P_RNA from 1 species